AACUGACCCGAACCGACCGUUCAAAUCUGAAUCGGAUUGAACCGGAUGACCCGACUAAUCUUACUAAAAAAAAAAAAAGAAGCUUUUUUUUCCUGGAAACAUCCAUUGACCUAUUUACUGAAGUAGGAAGGAAGACGAUUCCAAGUAAAUAAUGCGAAUAUUACCGAUAACAUCGAAUAUUAUAGUUAUAUGCAGUUUUGAUCAAUUAAUAACCCCAAAAAUCUAUAAAUCCUCAAAUGUAAAAAUAUGAACAACUUGAUUGGAAUCUCGGCCAUUCUUGGUGCUCCCGACUCCUUUCUUGUGCGCAUUUUGAAUUGUCAGCAACAAUCUCAUGGAAGAUGGCUUGGGACCCACCAUGCAUAUGGACCCCAAAUCGCCUCUGAAGAAAGAGGAAGAAGAAGAGCUCGGAGAAGCUAAGGUGAGGCCUCUAAAUGCCCUAGCCAGGUUGAAACUCAUCGACGUUGCCACCGCCAUUUUCUUCUUCUUUUCUCUUCUUACGUAACCUUCAGCAUCUGGUCUAUAGCUUGUGAACGAGGGUAGAGAGAGAGAGUAAUUAUGGGAGGGGUUGCGUGAAGGAGGAAAGAGAGGGAGAGUAAUUAUGCGAGGGGUUGCCUGUCGUUUGUAUGGAACAAAGGAAGUUAUGGAUUGAGGGAGUAUUUAUGCUAUUUUUGUAAAAGAGA